rnacentral:lncRNA from 1 species
UAUAUUGACCGACGUACUGCAUGAUUGGUCAAAGAGGCCUGCAGCUCCUCGGGCUUGUACGUUCGGAAACUGCCACUUGCCCUUCGUCUUCCCUCUCAAGCCACCAUUUCUACCGCAGAGUAUCACGAUCGUGGAAGACUAAGAAUUCGGAGACAUGCACGCGCACAAAGAAAAAUGAACAGAGUCUUCUUCCUCCUUAGUCCAUCUUCAUCGCGGAAACUAUCCAAUUACGAGAGUUCCCCUUAUUUAUGUACGGAUGGAUCGAUCGUCUCGUCCUUAUUGAUGGGAUAAGCUAUGGUUCGAUGUCGCUGCAGGAAUCAUAAGAGCUGAGAAGCAAAGAGGUGCACAUGGAAAGACGACGUAGUCUCGAAGCUCGUGAUGGCUCUAGACUAAAACUCGUUGCGGAAGUUCGAUCCAACCGGAAGGAUGCUUAGUCUCCGCGAGUUUAGAUUCAUUCGUUGAUGGCGACAACUGACCGAAGAAAAGAGAAAAUUAGCAGAAGGCCGGGGUUUGGGGAAGGAAGAACUUUUCUUGUUUGACUAAUAUGGAAGAAAAGACUCGAUCAGUUGAUGCGGCAAAAUCAUCUUCUUAUUCGAUGACGAAAAUAGAAGAAAGACUUCCCAGCACAGCGACUUCUCUUCCGCACAUCGGCUCCUCGCAUUGUCUGCAUCGAUCUGUGAUGAACGCGGGCGAAGACUUUCGACUCUGCAACUCCGUCUUCACGUACAUGUGCGGUCAUCGUACGUUUGGAAGCGUUGACUUUUUUUAUUUAUUGAUGGCACCAUAUUCCCGGAACGAGCAUUCCACUAUCAGAUGAGGCUCUAACUCACAUUGAUACCCUUCAGAUCUUACUGAUCGUGAGGAAAAGAGAACAGUACCUUAUCUUUAUCUAUGUGUGCUAUAUUAUCGAGACAAAUUAUUUUCCUACUUGGAAAAAAGGAGGUGUAGAAACACUUUUUAUUUUAUUUCCACCUUACUAUUUUGGUAGGAGAAGUUGAUGAUGGAGUGGAAUACCCUACUAACUAGUGUUUCUUCCACGGCAUGAAUUCUUUCGAAUUGGAUUUCUCAUUUGCAGUACUCGGCGCAGUUGACUAGCAAGAACAGUACUGGCAUUAAUGGCAAGUUUGGUCACAAUUGUCUUAGGGAAAGUAAGAAUUUUGAUACACAGAAAGCAAAAAAAGGUAUGUUGCAGAUCAGAUAAAGAUUAAUACGUUUCUAAUUACUCGUUUUGAUUUUUUUUUUCUUGCUUAUCAUCUCGUCAUCAUCAUCAUCAUAUUAAUAUUAGUAUUCUUUGGGUGGAGGAAGACAAGGAACUAAGCAACAAUAAAUUACGGGCGAUGAAAGGCUUGCGGGU